GAUUGAAUGUGCUCUGAGCAUGAGUAAGAUGGAAUAAAGAGUCAAGAAAGGCUGACAGCAGGGACAUAGGCAGUAGGAUAUGUAUCACUGAAAAUAGCACUUCUGCGUGAAGCUGAUGGAAAUCAAAGAGGAUACAGAAAGGUCAUCCAACUACAGGCUGUCAAGCAAAUGACACUAGCAAGGUGGCCAGAAGACAAAAGCCAAGUACCGAUCUUGCAAAGGGGCACAGUCAGACAUCACCGGGGGAACAAAAGAUGACAACCAUGGUGCACAGAGGGGAGGAGAGAAAAAAGGAUUCUUUGUGGCUGAUUGCAUAACCAUAUAACUGCCAGACACAAGGGCAGAGACUGCCCCUUCUUUAAUCCUCUGGGUGUGUGGGGGAGUACCUCAAGAGCUCAGAGAAGACUGGGAGUAUUGGAGAUCCUCAGAGUCAGGCACAAGGAUAUUGUUAAGAGCUGCUGUUUCCUAGCUCCAUACCUAAAUUUACAGAGCCACAUGCACACAAUAUGGCUGAGAAGAGGCUUCCAAAGGAAUGUAGGGAGGAUGGCAGCACCCACUGCUCAUCCUGGACCAAAUUC